ACAAGGGUUUAGUUUGAAUGAUUUGGUUGCUCGUUUGGUCAUCGCUCGCUUGAAUUGUUUGAAGUCUGUUAUUGUUGCUCACCGCAACGAUCGUUUGAGUAUUUGGAUUAGUAAACCACUUGAGUGACAUUGGGGACAGAGUAAAUUGGAUUUUUUUGAUUGUUUGUUUGGAAUUUGCAUUGCCAUGGAAAUCUUGCAUUGACAUCGACAUCG
rnacentral:lncRNA from 1 species